GACGAACGCUGGCGGCGUGCCUAAUACAUGCAAGUCGAGCGAACGGAUUGGAAAAGCUUGCUUUUCCUUGAAGUUAGCGGCGGACGGGUGAGUAACACGUGGGUAACCUGCCCUUUAGUUUGGGAUAACUUCGGGAAACCGGAGCUAAUACCGAAUAAUACUCCAAACCUCAUGGUUUGAAGUUGAAAGAUGGUUUCGGCUAUCGCUAGAGGAUGGGCCCGCGGUGCAUUAGCUAGUUGGUGAGGUAACGGCUCACCAAGGCAACGAUGCAUAGCCGACCUGAGAGGGUGAUCGGCCACACUGGGACUGAGACACGGCCCAGACUCCUACGGGAGGCAG
rnacentral:rRNA from 1 species